AAUAAUUCGGAGGGUACAAGAGAGUGUGAUACACCCAUCGUUUCUCUGUCUCUCGCAUAAGCUUAAAGAUUGUGCAAAAAAUUCAUCUAUUUGAAAUGCAUUUCAAAAACAGAUGGCCCCAUGUGUUAUCUUCUAUUCUCGCUACUGCUUUUUCCUCUAUUACGAAAGAGAAAUCCAAAGUUCCUUUUUAAUCCAGCCUUCCUAUACUGCCAGUUGAAGUGAAUCCAUUCUGCUCCUCGACACGGCCUUGUGAAGGUCGGGAGGGCGUUGCCCGGCCUUGAGUGAGUGAGCGACCGAGCGAUGUCAGCUUGUGCGUACAUCAAGCUAUAUAUAAAAACACAUUUCUUAUCACUUAAUGCAACUUGGAGAGUGAUUGAGUGCACUACACGUACUAGCUGCCGAGGAGGGCUAUCACAAUUGGCGAGCACUACAUACUCCACAGAGGUCACCGCUAACAUUAUUGAUUGUAAGUAAAAAUUUUUGUUACAUUCUCAUAUUUUUGUGAAAUAACACUAAAUUGAUUUUUAUAAUAUAUAUUUAGUGUUACAGUUUGGUUACAUUGUUUUUCCACAGCAUUUUCUCACCUCACUACUCAUAAGCAGUUGUGCUCUCGUGAAGGAACCUUACCUGUAUCGAGAAAAUCAUAGCUGAGGAGCUAGCUGAGAGGAGCCUAUCCGAUUAUUUCAUUUCGUCAAAUCAACACAUCAUUUUCUCACCUCUCAACUCGAGGAGUCAAAGGCAGUAUCUACACCUGAGAGGAAUCAAUCAUACCAUAGACCGCUAUCUACACCUGUAGCAUAGGCCGCUAUCUACACCUGUAGCAUAGGCUGCUAUCUACACCUCUACACUCGAGGAGAUUCACGCACCAUCAACACAUUAUCAUGCCGAGGGAACGCAGACUUCGUGGGAUCAAUUCAAGCGCAGUUCGCCAUCGCAUCAGUUUUGAGGAUGAGGAUAUUGACAUUGAGAGUGUGCUUGAGAGGACGAAAACUCGAGUGUUCGAGAUAAUUAGGGAGCAUGCGGCACGGUAUGAUGCAAAUGUUAAGUGGUACAUAGUGCUUAACGUUUUAUUGUAUAAAUUAGUGGUGCUGGAUGACAAGGUUGAUGAGUCUGUUUCAUC